AUUGAACGCUGGCGGCAGGCCUAACACAUGCAAGUCGAACGAGUGGCGGACGGGUGAGUAAUGUCUGGGCAACUGCCUGAUGUAGGGGGAUAACUACUGGAAACGGUAGCUAAUACCGCAUACCAUCGGAUGUGCCCAGUUGGGAUUAGCUAGUAGGUGGGGUAAAGGCUCACCUAGGCGACGAUCCCUAGCUGGUCUGAGAGGAUGACCAGCCACACUGGAACUGACACACGUUCCAGACUCCUACGGGAGGCAGCAGUGGUGAAUAUUGCACUAUGGGCGAAAGCCUGAUGCAGCCAUGCCGCGUGUAUGAAUAAGGCCUUCGGGUGGUAAAGUACUUUCAGCGGGGAGGCUUUACCCGCAGAAGAAGCCCCGGCUAACUCCGUGCCAGCAGCCGCGGUAAUUC
rnacentral:rRNA from 1 species